CUUUAUCCAACAACUACAAAACUUUCAAUGCACAAAUUGCUGAACAGGGAAAAAAAAUAUUCUGCAAAACGUCUAUCAAUCAACUUUUUCAUUCAAAUCACAUUAUGGAGUCAUUCAGAUUAAUACAGAGAUAGAAAAUAAAAUCGCAAAUCGCAUACAGACAUCUCUAUGAUGCUUUUAUUUUUGACAUUCCAUAAUAAAAACUGUAGAUUAAUUUUAAACUAUAACAGAAAUCUCCAUUGCAGAAAAUUUAAAAAUAAAGGGAGAAAGGAAGCUUAACUAAUUUAAGCUUGAACUGCAUUGCCAAAGGAUCUAUAGUUGCCCAACGGUUCGGGGGAGUAGAGUUGUCAAAAUAACCAGUCCAGCCUAUUUGACAAUUCUACUGAGGAUUGAAUUAUCCUUCUUUCUCUUCAUAUUUACCACUGCUAUUAUCGUGGAAACUUGCCCACAGAAGCCUGAUGGAGAAAGCGGAGGUCCUCAAGAAAAAGACAUAAAAUUGAAGAAUAAUUAAUGAUUUUAAAGGGUUUGUGAAAUGGUAUAGAAUUAAUGGAGAAGGAUCUUCCAA
rnacentral:lncRNA from 1 species